GAACUGAAGAGUUUGAUCAUGGCUCAGAUUGAACGCUGGCGGCAGGCCUAACACAUGCAAGUCGAGCGGAUGAAGGGAGCUUGCUCCUGGAUUCAGCGGCGGACGGGUGAGUAAUGCCUAGGAAUCUGCCUGGUAGUGGGGGAUAACGUCCGGAAACGGGCGCUAAUACCGCAUACGUCCUGAGGGAGAAAGUGGGGGAUCUUCGGACCUCACGCUAUCAGAUGAGCCUAGGUCGGAUUAGCUAGUUGGUGGGGUAAAGGCCUACCAAGGCGACGAUCCGUAACUGGUCUGAGAGGAUGA
rnacentral:rRNA from 1 species